rnacentral:rRNA from 1 species
CCUACGGGUGGCUGCAGUGGGGAAUAUUGGACAAUGGGGGGAACCCUGAUCCAGCCAUGCCGCGUGUGUGAAGAAGGCCCUCGGGUUGUAAAGCACUUUCAGUGAGGAAGAACGCCUGGUGGUUAAUACCCAUCAGGAAAGACAUCACUCACAGAAGAAGCACCGGCUAACUCCGUGCCAGCAGCCGCGGUAAUACGGAGGGUGCGAGCGUUAAUCGGAAUUACUGGGCGUAAAGCGCGCGUAGGUGGCUUGAUAAACCGGUUGUGAAAGCCCCGGGCUCAACCUGGGAACGGCAUCCGGAACUGUCAAGCUAGAGUGCAGGAGAGGAAAGUAGAAUUCCCGGUGUAGCGGUGAAAUGCGUAGAGAUCGGGAGGAAUACCAGUGGCGAAGGCGGCCUUCUGGACUGACACUGACACUGAGGUGCGAAAGCGUGGGUAGCAAACAGGAUUAGAUACCCCAGUAGUC